rnacentral:rRNA from 1 species
ACUCAAAGGAAUAGACGGGGACCCGCACAAGCGGUGGAUGAUGUGGAUUAAUUCGAUGCAACGCGAAAAACCUUACCUACCCUUGACAUGGCCCAAAGCUGCCAGAGAUGGUGGUGUGCUCGCAAGAGAAUGGGUACACAGGUGCUGCAUGGCUGUCGUCAGCUCGUGUCGUGAGAUGUUGGGUUAAGUCCCGCAACGAGCGCAACCCUUGUCGGUAAUUGCCAUCAUUAGGUUGGGCACUUUACUGAGACUGCCGGUGACAAACCGGAGGAAGGUGGGGAUGACGUCAAGUCCUCAUGGCCCUUAUGGGUAGGGCUUCACACGUCAUACAAUGGUGCAUACAGAGGGUUGCGAAGCUGCGAAGUGGAGCUAAUCUCAGAAAGUGCAUCGUAGUCCGGAUUGGAGUCUGCAACUCGACUCCAUGAAGUUGGAAUCGCUAGUAAUCGCGGAUCAGCAUGUCGCGGUGAAUACGUUCUCGGGUCUUGUACACACCGCCCGU